CCCGCUGAACUUAAGCAUAUCAAUAAGCGGAGGAAAAGAAACUAACAAGGAUUCCCCUAGUAACUGCGAGUGAAGCGGGAAGAGCUCAAAUUUAAAAUCUGGCAGUCUCUGGCUGUCCGAGUUGUAAUUUAGAGAAGUGUUGCCCGUGCUGGACCGUAUACAAGUCCUCUGGAAUGGGGUGUCAUAGAGGGUGAGAAUCCCGUCUUUGAUACGGACUACCAGUGCUUUUGUGGUGCGCUCUCAAAGAGUCGAGUUGUUUGGGAAUGCAGCUCAAAAUGGGUGGUAAAUUCCAUCUAAAGCUAAAUACAGGCGAGAGACCGAUAGCGAACAAGUACCGUGAGGGAAAGAUGAAAAGAACUUUGGAAAGAGAGUUAAACAGUACGUGAAAUUGCUGAAAGGGAAACGCUUGAAGUCAGUCGCGUUGUUCAAGAAUCAGCCUUGCUUUAUUGCUUGGUGUACUUUUUGUUCAACGGGUCAACAUCAGUUUUGACUCGCUGGAUAAGGGUCAGGGAAAUGUGGCAUCUUCAGAUGUGUUAUAGUCUCUGGUCAUAUACAGUGGUUGGGACUGAGGAACUCAGCAUGCCGAAAGGACGGGUCCCUCAAAAGACUACGUUACAUGCUUAGGAUGUUGGCAUAAUGGCUUUAAUCGACCCGUCUUGAAACACGG
rnacentral:rRNA from 1 species